AAGAUCUGAAGAAAAAUCCUGGACAAGAUUUCCUCCCUGUGAAGAGUAAACACCUCCAGGCUAGGGUCUGCUUCAACAACAAUCUUCAAGCUGCUUAAACAACAAGCAGCAAGCCCUGGGGUUAGCUGGUUUGGGAGGCUGCCUUGGCCCCAGCCACAGGAACUUUUACCCCUGGGAUAGUGAGGGGAAUUGGACAUCUGAUCUGUGGAAGGAAGAUAGAGGGACCCUGUGCUGACCAGAAACGCCAGACCAAACUGUGCUGCAGAGAGUAGCCCGGGCGAGAAGGAACCAGCACGUGCCAGGUACAUCUGCAGCUGAGCUUCCUUUUGGUUUUGGCCCAGUAGCUUCAUUAGUGCUGGAGCUACUUCUAGUUGUCCUCCACUUUUCACGAGUAGCACGCUGGACACCUUCUGACCUGAGGGGCUCAUCUUUUGGUGCUGUAUCUUUUAUCAUCUUAAUACUACCUGUGGGGUUUUCUUGGCAAAAAUACUGAAGUGGUUUGUCAUUUCCCUCUUGGAUCACCUUUUGCCAAACUCUUUACUGACCUGUGCAUCUUGAGUAACCGUACACAGAAGAGCUCAUAGUUUCAUUGAGCUACAUAAGCCCCUCCACCAUGACAAGUACAAUAUUGAUAUUCGAUGGACAAGCUUCUCUUGGGCCUUUCUCUCCUUUGCCUCACAUGGACUAUGUCUGGGGGAAUCUGUAUGAAGUGUCGGAAAAAUCAUCGCAAAAAUAAUGCUACUGAGCCUCUGAAAUGUAGAACUUGCAACUUUAUACUUCCAGAUAGGAAGUGUACAGUUGGAUUUGGUACCUGUACGACAACAAGAAAUGAGAGCUGUUUAACUGAGAAAUUCUACUAUGUACAAUAUUGAUAUUCGAUGGACAAGCUUCUCUUGGGCCUUUCUCUCCUUUGCCUCACAUGGACUAUGUCUGGGGGAAUCUGUAUGAAGUGUCGGAAAAAUCAUCGCAAAAAUAAUGCUACUGAGCCUCUGAAAUGUAGAACUUGCAACUUUAUACUUCCAGAUAGGAAGUGUACAGUUGGAUUUGGUACCUGUACGACAAC